rnacentral:rRNA from 1 species
GGAUUAGAUACCCGGGUAGUCCACGCCGUAAACGAUGGAUGCUAGCUGUUAUCGGUAUCGACCCCGGUAGUAGCGAAGCUAACGCGUUAAGCAUCCCGCCUGUGGAGUACGGUCGCAAGACUAAAACAUAAAGGAAUUGACGGGGACCCGCACAAGCGGUGGAGCGUGUUGUUUAAUUCGAUGGUAAGCGAAGAACCUUACCCAGGUUUGACAUCCUUGGAAUUUUUUCGAAAGAAGAGAGUGCUUUAUUGAGCCAAGUGACAGGUGUUGCAUGGCCGUCGUCAGCUCGUGUCGUGAGAUGUUUGGUUAAGUCCAUCAACGAGCGCAACCCUUGUAGUUAGUUGAAUUUUUCUAGCUAGACUGCCCUGGCAACAGGGAGGAAGGAGGGGAUGAU